GGAAAAGAGAUACAGAUGACGUGA
rnacentral:siRNA from 1 species